rnacentral:rRNA from 1 species
CUACGGGGUGCUGCAGUGGGGAAUAUUGGACAAUGGGGGAAACCCUGAUCCAGCAAUGCCGCGUGUGUGAAGAAGGCCUGCGGGUUGUAAAGCACUUUCGGUUGGGAGGACUGCUUCUAGCACUAAUAUUGUUGGAAGUUGACGUUACCUUCAGAAGAAGCACCGGCUAACUCCGUGCCAGCAGCCGCGGUAAUACGGGGGGUGCAAGCGUUAAUCGGAAUUACUGGGCGUAAAGCGCGCGUAGGCGGCUAGAUCAGUCGGGUAUGAAAGCCCCGGGCUUAACCUGGGAACUGCAUCCGAUACUGUCUAGCUGAGUACAGGAGAGGAGAGUGGAAUUCCACAUGUAGCGGUGAAAUGCGUAGAUAUGUGGAGGAACACCAAUGGCGAAGGCAGCUCUCUGGCCUGAUACUGACGCUGAGGUGCGAAAGCGUGGGGAGCAAACAGGAUUAGAUACCCGUGUAGUC